rnacentral:rRNA from 1 species
CCUACGGGUGGCAGCAGUGGGGAAUAUUGCACAAUGGGGGAAACCCUGAUGCAGCGACGCCGCGUGUGGGAAGACGGUCCUAUGGGUUGUAAACCACUUUCGCCAGGGACUAAGAUGACGGUCCCUUAGGAGGAAUCUCCGUCUAAAUACAUUCCGCAUGCCGCGGUAAUGGGUCGGGAGCGAGCGUUGUCCGGAUUUACUGGGUGUAAAGGGGGCGUAGUCGGUACUGCAGGUUGGGUGGAAAAUCUAUGGGCUCACCCGAUAGCCGCAGUUAAAACUGGUGUACUUGAGUGAAGUAGAGGCAGGCGGAAUGCGUAGUGUAGCGGUGAAAUGCGUAGAUAUUAGGAGGAACACCAGUGGCGAAGGCGGCUUGCUGAGCUUUGACUGACGCUGAGGCACGAAAGUGUGGGGAGCAAACAGGAUUAGAUACCCCUGUAGUC